GAGCUUGCUCCUGGAUUCAGCGGCGGACGGGUGAGUAAUGCCUAGGAAUCUGCCUGGUAGUGGGGGAUAACGUCCGGAAACGGGCGCUAAUACCGCAUACGUCCUGAGGGAGAAAGUGGGGGAUCUUCGGACCUCACGCUAUCAGAUGAGCCUAGGUCGGAUUAGCUAGUUGGUGGGGUAAAGGCCUACCAAGGCGACGAUCCGUAACUGGUCUGAGAGGAUGAUCAGUCACACUGGAACUGAGACACGGUCCAGACUCCUACGGGAGGCAGCAGUGGGGAAUAUUGGACAAUGGGCGAAAGCCUGAUCCAGCCAUGCCGCGUGUGUGAAGAAGGUCUUCGGAUUGUAAAGCACUUUAAGUUGGGAGGAAGGGCAGUAAGUUAAUACCUUGCUGUUUUGACGUUACCAACAGAAUAAGCACCGGCUAACUUCGUGCCAGCAGCCGCGGUAAUACGAAGGGUGCAAGCGUUAAUCGGAAUUACUGGGCGUAAAGCGCGCGUAGGUGGUUCAGCAAGUUGGAUGUGAAAUCCCCGGGCUCAACCUGGGAACUGCAUCCAAAACUACUGAGCUAGAGUACGGUAGAGGGUGGUGGAAUUUCCUGUGUAGCGGUGAAAUGCGUAGAUAUA
rnacentral:rRNA from 1 species